rnacentral:lncRNA from 1 species
CUGCCUCCCCCGAUCAAUUUUACCAUGAUAGUUCUCAAACAAAAAAAUGGAAUCCUCACCUUCAGGACUGACAGCAGCAAGGUGAACGUUAAUUUCAUAGCGAAGCAAGAAGAUGAGAUUUACCAGCUUUGUGGGACUCUUUUUGGACACUGUAAGACACUAGAGCUGCAGCACUGGGGACAUCUGGAAAACUACUCUGGAGACAGCACUAACACAUACAGGACAAAGAACUCCAACAACAUGAGGUGGCAUUCGCUUGGGAAACAUUGCGGAGGCAAUAAUGGCAGCACAAGCUAACUGCUACUCUUGACACGCCUGAUGUCAGCUGGAGGAACAGAUGGCUCAGUGGUUCAUUUCAAACUGUUCACUCAGCCAAACAGCACAAAUUGCAAUAAUUGCCUCACAGUACGAGCAGAGAACGGAGCACUUCGUGUGUCCUAGCCGUGAAUCACUGAGGCUUCUCAUCGUUAUUCACAUUUGACAGGUCAGACAGGG